AGUGUUGUUCAGAGCUUCGUUCCCCUUUGUCCAGAGCAAGUCAACUCAGUCACUUUCUCCAUCAACGCGAAGCCCCAAACCGUCUCAAUCUCCAUUAACGCGAGGUUAACCGCGCGCAGGAUGGACAACCCCCUCCCGCAGCCGCGCAGGCGCAGGCCCGUCGUCCUGAUCGCCUCCUGCGCGCUGAUCCUCCUCGCCACCGCCCUCCUCCCGCGCGCUCCCGCCGUCCCGCCGCUGACCCCGGCCAUCCGCCUCGACCCGCGGGUCGCACGCAGGAGCGGCAACGAGGUGCUGUGGCAGCUGCCGCCAGGCCCGCCGCGCGCCGCCGUGUUCGUCGCCCCCGGAUGCACCAUCCGCGCCACCGACUUCUUCGACGCCUCCCCCGGCUGCCCGCGCUGCGCGGGGCUCCCCGAGGAGCGCCGGUUCACGCGCGAGGCGCUCCGCCGAGGCUACGCUGUCCUCGCUGUGUCCAGCCGCGCCGAGUGCUGGUCCCUCGACGCCGCCUCCGGCGACGGCAGUGAGCUCGCCGCCGUCGGUUCCAUCAUCGAAUGGUGGGUCAAGGAGCAGCACCCCGAGCUCGGCCGCCUCCCGCUCGUCGGCAUCGGCGCGUCGUCGGGCGGGUACUUCGUCUCCGCGCUGGCGGCGAGGGUCAGGUUCAGCAGCGUGGCCAUCAUGAUCGCCGAGGGCGUGUUUGCCGCCAUGGAGGAAAUCCCGCUCGGCUACCCGCCGGCGCUGUUCGUGCACAUGCCCAGGGACGCCAAGAGGGCGCACAUGGUGGCGUCAAGCAUAGACAAGCUCAAGUCAAAGCACGUUGAUGUACGGGAGAUCCAGUGCGAUGCCUUUGCCGUGAGUGCCGACUUCUUGGCGGCGAGGAUCCCGGGGUUGACUCCGACCGUCGCCGAUGGCCUUGUGGACGUGCUUCGCCAGAAGUCGUUCUUGGAUGAGAAGGGUUUUCUGAAGAAGGAUGGGAGGAGAACACCGUGGCAGGAGGCGGCGGAGGAAGCCAAGAUCUUGCCGGAGGGGUUCCGGCUGGAGAGGCAUGUCACGGAGGAGUUGAAUAUUGCAUAUGCAUACCAUGAAUUUACCAGCCUGGAGAAUGAAGAGAUCUUCAAAUGGUUCGAUUCCCAUAUGGAUCACAAGAUUUGAAGGCACAUAAUUUCUAGCUGGCCAACUUGAUGUCGGAUUCAUGGAGUGUUGCUGGUUUUGAGAGGAUGCACCAUUAUGAUUCAUGGGAGGUGGAAAGAAAGCACAAUAUUCUGUAAGGUUGACUCUUUUGGAGAAGUACUGAAGGGAAAGCUUCAACUCAUCUUGGAAGUUCUUGGGUUUAUUUGGAUUUUUGGGGUUCAAGAGCAAGAUUCAAAGGUUGAACUACAAAAUUCAGGAUAUCAGGGGAACAUAUACUUUUGUUACAGGUUUUUCUGGGAUUCAAGAACAAGGUUCAUAGGUCUUUAACUAUGCAAUCUAAGAAUAACUAAUUUUGUGGCAUUUGUUAGACUGCUUUGUCAAUUUGCGAAAACUUUGCUAGGCAAGUUUGGCCAUUCCAAUACAGUUUUGUCAUGCCAUAGUUUUUGCUAUGUAGAGCACCUGUCCUAGACCCAAUGUUUUGCCAAAACUUGCCUAUGGUGUGGCAAACAGUUUGUUAGCAACAUAAAGUGUUAGCUUGUCACAAUUUGCCACAAGGGCAAGGCCACAAGUAGGUGUGGUGAAAUGGUGAUAUUUCGGAGCUGUUCGGCAAUCCACCAGCUCCACGAAAUCCCAGGAUCUGCGGAGCACCUGUUUACUCGCUCCGCGAUUUUCAGCUGCAGCUCCGCCUGCUCCGGGAGCGGAGUCGUGGAGUGAAGGGACUCCGAACAGGCCCUUCCUAUACAACCAAACAUGCCCUAAAC